UUCUAGUUAGUUCCUUGUGCUUAGCUGAUGUGUUAGCAUGGAAUAAUGAAAUAUGACUUUAGUCCUAUUUUCGUUGGUUUAGGUACUUCAGUAAUGAUGAAUAGAAACGGUUAGGGGCAUUUGUAUUUGGUCGCUAGAGGUGAAAUUCUUGGAUUGA
rnacentral:rRNA from 1 species